rnacentral:rRNA from 1 species
GCAAGUCGAGCGCGCCCUUCGGGGUGAGCGGCGGACGGGUGAGUAACGCGUGGGAAUAUGCCCUUCUCUAAGGAAUAGCCUUUGGAAACGAAGAGUAAUACCAUAUAAGCCCUUCGGGGGAAAGAUUUAUCGGGAAAGGAUUGGCCCGCGUUAGAUUAGAUAGUUGGUGGGGUAAUGGCCUACCAAGUCUACGAUCUAUAGCUGGUUUUAGAGGAUGAUC